GAUGAAGAACGCAGCGAAAUGCGAUAAGUAAUGUGAAUUGCAGAAUUCAGUGAAUCAUCGAAUCUUUGAACGCACAUUGCGCCCGCCAGUAUUCUGGCGGGCAUGCCUGUUCGAGCGUCAUUUCAACCAUCAAGCCCCCGGCUUGUGUUGGGGACCUGCGGCUGCCGCAGGCCCUGAAAACCAGUGGCGGGCUCGCUGUCACACCGAGCGUAGUAGAUUUUCAUCUCGCUCAGGGCGUGCUGCGGGUUCCGGCCGUAAAAAGCCUUAUUUACCCAAGGUUGACCUCGGAUCAGGUAGGAAGACCCGCUGAACUUAAGCAUAUCAAAAAGCGGAGGA
rnacentral:misc_RNA from 1 species